rnacentral:rRNA from 1 species
UUCCAGACUCCUACGGGAGGCAGCAGUGGGGAAUAUUGCACAAUGGGGGGAACCCUGAUGCAGCGACGCCGCGUGGGUGAAGGAGUACUUCGGUACGUAAAGCCCUAUCAGCAGGAAAGAAAAUGACGGUACCUGACUAAGAAGCCCCGGCUAACUACGUGCCAGCAGCCGCGGUAAUACGUAGGGGGCAAGCGUUAUCCGGAUUUACUGGGUGUAAAGGGAGCGUAGACGGCGAUACAAGUCUGAAGUGAAAGCCCGGGGCUCAACCCCGGGACUGCUAUGGAAACUGUGUUGCUGGAGUGCUGGAGAGGCAAGCGGAAUUCCUAGUGUAGCGGUGAAAUGCGUAGAUAUUAGGAAGAACACCAGUGGCGAAGGCGGUCUGCUGGACAGCAACUGACGGUGAGGCGCGAAAGCGUGGGGAGCAAACAGGAUUAGAUACCCGUGUAGC